rnacentral:rRNA from 1 species
UACAGAGGGUGCGAGCGUUAAUCGGAUUUACUGGGCGUAAAGCGUGCGUAGGUGGUGGCUUAAGUCCGUUGUGAAAGCCCUGGGCUCAACCGUGGAGGGUCAUUGGAAACUGGGAGACUUGAGUGCAGAAGAGGAAAGCGGAAUUCCAAGUGUAGCGGUGAAAUGCGUAGAGAUUUGGAGGAACACCAGUGGCGAAGGCGACUUUCUGGACGACAACUGACGCUGAGGCGCGAAAGCAUGGGGAGCAAACAGG